GAUGAAGAACGUAGCGAAAUGCGAUAAGUAGUGUGAAUUGCAGAAUUCAGUGAAUCAUCGAAUCUUUGAACGCGCAUUGCGCCCCUUGGUACUCCAUGGGGCAUGCCUGUUCGAGCGUCAUUUACACCCUCAAGCUCUGCUUGGUGUUGGGCGUCUGUCCCGCUUCGUGCGCGGACUCGCCUCAAAUGCAUUGGCAGCGGUCUUGCCAGCUUCUCGCGCAGCACAUUGCGCUUCUAGAGGCUUUGGCGGAUCGGCGUCCAUCAAGUACACCCACAGUUUGACCUCGGAUCAGGUAGGGAUACCCGCUGAACUUAAGCAUAUCAAUAAGCGGAGGA
rnacentral:misc_RNA from 1 species